rnacentral:tRNA from 1 species
GGAGAGAUGGCAGAGUGGUCGAAUGCGCUGACUUGGAGAGUCAGUAUACUCGAAAGAGUAUCCAGGGUUCGAAUCCCUGUCUCUCCGCCA